CUGUGCAGUGGCAUGACCAUAGUUCACUGCAACCUCAAACUCCUGAGCUUCAGCGAUCCUCCCACCUCAGCCUCCCAAGUAGUCCCAUAGUCCCAGCCCCUGAGCUGGGACUACAGGGAGAAGUCUCGGCGGGAGAUUAAGUCUUGAGAUUCAUCAGACCAGAGAUGGUCUGUGAAGCCGCAGAUCAGGAUGACAGCCACUAUGGGAAUGAACAAAGAUGAAGACCGGAGACCCCAAGACAGACCUCCGGGGCAGCCAUCACUGAGAGAGGGCGGAGGAGGAGGGGGAAGUGAAGGCUCCUGAGGAGAAGGCCAUGUGGAGGAGGGAAACCAGGGGAAGGUGGAGUCGGAGACAUUGGAAGAACAGAUGGGCACACCAACGCCUGGAGAUGUUGGAUGCAGAAGGCGAAAUGUCAGAAGCUGGAGUCCUGCAUCUCAGCUGGAAGGUGAGGUAAGAUUCCUGCUGGUGUUUAUCCCUCUCCUCACUUCCCUCAGCAGCAGCCCCUUUCUCCUCCCCUCCUGCAUCCCUGGAGCAAGUGCCUUAAGGCCUUCCUGCUUCAACAUGCCCCCCACCCUACAGCCUUUCCUGCAUUUCCCUGUCCUCUGGGGAGUCCCUGCAGAUAGAAAUUCAACUGCACAGCCACGAGGAACAUCUCCUUGAUGUUAACUAGACUGUGUUUCUUUACAAAUAUCUGGUGGCAGAUCUCUUCAUUCAUUCAUUCAUUCAUUCAUUCAUGCACCCAUUUAAUCUUCAUUCAUUCAUUCCAUCUUUCAUUAUUCACUCAUUGGGUUUGAGCAACUAAACCAGCCACGAGGGAUGAAAUUCUCCGUCACUGUGAAACUGCUCAUUCACCCAACUAGCCAGCUCACUGUUUCUGUCAUUCAUUAUACACCUCAUAAGUCCUGCAUAGGUCUGAGAUGUGGGCUUCAUGUAUGUCUGGCAGGCAUCCAGGCUUUCCCAUCAUGUGUCUGUCCCCUGGGUCACAUCCAUGUCAGGUGGGUACCACAGUCUAAAGUCCUUGUAUUCUCUUCCACAUACCAGGGCUGAUAAUUUAUCAGUUGCCAUUGAUCAAAGUUCACAAGGCAAAUCUUCAUAAACUUCUAAAGCUGCCUACAGUUUCCCGUAAACAAAUCUCUAAAUUUACAAAAGCAAUGCUUGCUGAUUGUAAAAAACACACAGUGCCAAAGCAUACAAAGGAAGAAGACCCGCUUGCAAUUUGCUACCUACAUCCCACUCUUGGGGCCAACAACUAUUGGAAGUGUGGUGAGUGAUUGACUUACAUCCUUCUAGAUCUUAUCUACAUAUUUGCAAAGAAAAAAUAUACAUAUAUAAAAUAAAAUAUGUGUGGGUUAUAUCCUUACAAAC
rnacentral:lncRNA from 1 species